rnacentral:lncRNA from 1 species
CUAUUUUUGUUUAUCAUUGAAAUCCAUCUUAUUCAUGAUGAAUAUUUUGUUAUGAAAAUUAUUUUAGUCUUAAAGAUAUAUUUGUCUAGUCUCUAGUUGAUUUAGAGAAAAACUACAGUAAUCCCAUUAUUUUAUAUCAUGGAAGAUUCAUAAUACAAAUUUUGUGUCUUUAUGCUUGGUUUGAUUUGUAAUCACUAGAUUUGAUAUUGUUGAGUUAUUGUCUAUUUUAAUUAGCACACAGGGGGU